rnacentral:rRNA from 1 species
GACGAACGCUGGCGGCGUGCUUAACACAUGCAAGUCGAACGCUGAAGCUCAGCUUGCUGGGUGGAUGAGUGGCGAACGGGUGAGUAACACGUGAGUAACCUGCCCUCUUCUUUGGGAUAACGCCCGGAAACGGGUGCUAAUACUGGAUAUUCACUGAUUCUCGCAUGGGGGUUGGUGGAAAGGUUUUUUCUGGUGGGGGAUGGGCUCGCGGCCUAUCAGCUUGUUGGUGGGGUGAUGGCCUACCAAGGCUUUGACGGGUAGCCGGCCUGAGAGGGUGACCGGUCACAUUGGGACUGCGAUACGGCCCAGACUCCUACGGGAGGCAGCAGUGGGGGAUAUUGCACAAUGGGCGAAAGCCUGAUGCAGCGACGCCGCGUGAGGGAUGGAGGCCUUCGGGUUGUAAACCUCUUUCGCUCAUGGUCAAGCCGCAGCUUUGGGUUGUGGUGAGGGUAGUGGGUAAAGAAGCGCCGGCUAACUACGUG